rnacentral:pre_miRNA from 1 species
AUCACCCGGGAGUCUUGUUAAAAUGCAGAUUCUGAAUCAGUGCGGCUGGACUGGGGCCCAGGACUCUGCAUUUCUAACAAGCUUCCAGAUGAUGUGGU